rnacentral:rRNA from 1 species
CGAUGUGGGAAGGCCCAGACAGCCAGGAUGUUGGCUUAGAAGCAGCCAUCAUUUAAAGAAAGCGUAAUAGCUCACUGGUCGAGUCGGCCUGCGCGGAAGAUGUAACGGGGCUAAACCAUGCACCGAAGCUGCGGCAGCGACGCUGAUGCGUUGUUGGGUAGGGGAGCGUUCUGUAAGCCUGUGAAGGUGUGCUGUGAGGCAUGCUGGAGGUAUCAGAAGUGCGAAUGCUGACAUAAGUAACGAUAAAGCGGGUGAAAAGCCCGCUCGCCGGAAGACCAAGGGUUCCUGUCCAACGUUAAUCGGGGCAGGGUGAGUCGACCCCUAAGGCGAGGCCGAAAGGCGUAGUCGAUGGGAAACAGGUUAAUAUUCCUGUACUUGGUGUUACUGCGAAGGGGGGACGGAGAAGGCUAUGUUGGCCGGGCGACGGUUGUCCCGGUUUAAGCGUGUAGGCUGGUUUUCCAGGCAAAUCCGGAAAACUAAGGCUGAGGCGUGAUGACGAGGCACUACGGUGCUGAAGCAACAAAUGCCCUGCUUCCAGGAAAAGCCUCUAAGCAUCAGGUAACAUCAAAUCGUACCCCAAACCGACACAGGUGGUCAGGUAGAGAAUACCAAGGCGCUUGAGAGAACUCGGGUGAAGGAACUAGGCAAAAUGGUGCCGUAACUUCGGGAGAAGGCACGCUGAUAUGUAGGUGAAGUCCCUCGCGGAUGGAGCUGAAAUCAGUCGAAGAUACCAGCUGGCUGCAACUGUUUAUUAAAAACACAGCACUGUGCAAACACGAAAGUGGACGUAUACGGUGUGACGCCUGCCCGGUGCCGGAAGGUUAAUUGAUGGGGUCAGCGCAAGCGAAGCUCUUGAUCGAAGCCCCGGUAAACGGCGGCCGUAACUAUAACGGUCCUAAGGUAGCGAAAUUCCUUGUCGGGUAAGUUCCGACCUGCACGAAUGGCGUAAUGAUGGCCAGGCUGUCUCCACCCGAGACUCAGUGAAAUUGAACUCGCUGUGAAGAUGCAGUGUACCCGCGGCAAGACGGAAAGACCCCGUGAACCUUUACUAUAGCUUGACACUGAACAUUGAGCCUUGAUGUGUAGGAUAGGUGGGAGGCUUUGAAGUGUGGACGCCAGUCUGCAUGGAGCCGACCUUGAAAUACCACCCUUUAAUGUUUGAUGUUCUAACGUUGACCCGUAAUCCGGGUUGCGGACAGUGUCUGGUGGGUAGUUUGACUGGGGCGGUCUCCUCCUAAAGAGUAACGGAGGAGCACGAAGGUUGGCUAAUCCUGGUCGGACAUCAGGAGGUUAGUGCAAUGGCAUAAGCCAGCUUGACUGCGAGCGUGACGGCGCGAGCAGGUGCGAAAGCAGGUCAUAGUGAUCCGGUGGUUCUGAAUGGAAGGGCCAUCGCUCAACGGAUAAAAGGUACUCCGGGGAUAACAGGCUGAUACCGCCCAAGAGUUCAUAUCGACGGCGGUGUUUGGCACCUCGAUGUCGGCUCAUCACAUCCUGGGGCUGAAGUAGGUCCCAAGGGUAUGGCUGUUCGCCAUUUAAAGUGGUACGCGAGCUGGGUUUAGAACGUCGUGAGACAGUUCGGUCCCUAUCUGCCGUGGGCGCUGGAGAACUGAGGGGGGCUGCUCCUAGUACGAGAGGACCGGAGUGGACGCAUCACUGGUGUUCGGGUUGUCAUGCCAAUGGCACUGCCCGGUAGCUAAAUGCGGAAGAGAUAAGUGCUGAAAGCAUCUAAGCACGAAACUUGCCCCGAGAUGAGUUCUCCCUGACUCCUUGAGAGUCCUGAAGGAACGUUGAAG